rnacentral:tRNA from 1 species
CGCGGGGUGGAGCAGUCUGGUAGCUCGUUGGGCUCAUAACCCAAAGGUCGUUGGUUCGAAUCCAGCCCCCGCUACCA